GCCAACCUCAGGGACACAAGGCUGCCUGCUUUCUCUGGAACAGAGCUGCCCUCCUCCUUUACCACUAAUUCCCCCUCCGUGUUACAGCUGCUCACUUGGCCAUUAGUACAUUACCUUUUGCUGCUGCAUGUGGGGCAAGAGAACAGCACCAGCUUCAGAGAAGGGUAUUUACACUCUUCUCAUCAGGGAAGGCACAGCACUUCCCUGUGGCUCCAGGGGUCUUUCCCUGUACACACCACACUGUGGUCUGUUGGUCAGUGGUGUUAUACUGGGAUGGGAUAAACCGCCUGUGACUCUGCGGGACCUUCAAAGGGUUUGGCUUGAAAAACACGAUGACUGAUAGCAGAUGUUGAGCAUUGACAACAUUUUACCGCUCAGAAAGUGCAUAGUAGCAGCUCCUGACCUUCCCCCUUCUCAUGGGGGUUUCUCAUGGGGCCUGUGGGAUGGGAACAGCCUGAGCAUGGCGAGCACCAGGUGCUUGUCCCAGUGCCACAGGCGCCUGCAGAAAGAGAGAGCCCAGCCUCAGCUGAGCCCAGCUAAAUAUAGCCAGUGACUGGGGAGCUCCUACGCCUCGCCUGGCUCUAGUCCUGCUGAAAUACAUUCCUUCUGAAAGCACUGCCUGCUUCCUCAAGCCCUCUUCUCUGCUCCUUGAGAUGCCACAGCUGAGUCUCAGAAGUGCUCCUGGGGCAGCAUGGCAGGACACAGGGACCAGAGCUGAGCAUCUCCCUGCUCCUACUGCCAGGAAUGGUUUAAAGCUCCCAAACAUGAGUCUGUCCAUGGAUAUUUACAGUUGUAGUUGUGUCUUGGGGUACUUGGGCAUGGCCAGAAGAUCAAAGAAGGGACUUCUAGGUCUACACAAGGCUUCUCUGGGCAGCAAUGCUCAUAUUUUAUAUAUGAGCAUAUAUUUUAUACUUUAUCUCUUGCAAGUGUGGGAUCUGCAUUUCACUUUCUUUUUUUUUCUUCACAGGAAUAUUAAAAAUAUUCCACAGAGGAACAACCUGUUUUGAAGUCCCCACACACCACAUCUUGCAUGUCCAGGUCAGUCCCAAAAUGGCCAGUAUUAAUUUUACUAUUAAAAAAUGGGAACAGCAUGCACCUUAUUGUGUUUUUGGGGUAACAGGGAGACCUGAUGCUGUCCCAUUCUCCAUGCACAGCCAACAGCUCGAGGGCAGCUUUUAGGUUACUGCCUGUCCCACGUACCACACUCCUACCAUGGCAGAAGUGUCGAUGAGGUAUUUAGUGAUAUUUUUGCAUUGGUUGCAAGCGGGGGGCAAGUUGUGAUGCCCCUACAGCCACACCAGGACUUGGUUUGAUUUAGCUGCACUGGGACAGUUAAAAUGUUACAACUUUUGUCAGUGUGUAUUUCCUAAAUCAACAAAUAGUCACUUUAAACCCAAACCUGAUUUCUCCCGGGGUAUGAAGACGUUGAAGAAACCAGCAAGGUUUGUGAAAGCAGCGUUGGAAAUCAAUGCAAGUAAGGGGAAAUUUUGGCAGGUGGCAUUACAGUUAAUCACUUCUGUCCGAGAACAGCAACACAACAUCUGUGUUUUAAGCAAAAUCUGAUGGUAAGAUCUAGUAGACAUGAGGGUGUCAUGAAGGUCUGCAAGUCAUGGGUGAGUUACCUGUUACCUUCUUUAAAAAUCAGUGAUCAGCUCUGGGGAUGAUCUUUGAUUUAUUUAAAAAGCAGAAGAAUACAGAGAGCUCUCCGGCAACGCAAACACGAUCAUAAACCCGACGCUU
rnacentral:lncRNA from 1 species